UCAUGUUGUUUAAUUCGAUGAUACGCGAAGAACCUUACCAGGUCUUGACAUCCCCGCAAUGCUCUGGAGACAGAGCGGAGGGUAUCCGGGGAGACAGGUGGUGCAUGGUUGUCGUCAGCUCGUGUCGUGAGAUGUUGGGUUAAGUCCCGCAACGAGCGCAACCCUUAUUGCUAGUUACCAUCAUUGAGUUGGGGACUCUAACGGGACUGCCCGCGAAAGCGGGAGGAAGGAGGGGACGACGUCUGGUCAGCAUGGCCCUUACGGCCUGGGCGACACACGUGCUACAAUGCCCACUACAAAGCGAGGCCACCCGGCAACGGGGAGCUAAUCGCAAAAAGGUGGGCCCAGUUCGGAUUGGGGUCUGCAACCCGACCCCAUGAAGCCGGAAUCGCUAGUAAUCGCGGAUCAGCCAUGCCGCGGUGAAUACGUUCCCGGGCCUU
rnacentral:rRNA from 1 species